UGGGGAAUAUUGCACAAUGGGCGCAAGCCUGAUGCAGCCAUGCCGCGUAUAUGAAGAAGGCCUUCGGGUUGUAAAGUACUUUCAGCGGGGAGGAAGGGAGUAAAGUUAAUACCUUUGCUCAUUGACGUUACCCGCAGAAGAAGCACCGGCUAACUCCGUGCCAGCAGCCGCGGUAAUACGGAGGGUGCAAGCGUUAAUCGGAAUUACUGGGCGUAAAGCGCACGCAGGCGGUUUGUUAAGUCAGAUGUGAAAUCCCCGGGCUCAACCUGGGAACUGCAUCUGAUACUGGCAAGCUUGAGUCUCGUAGAGGGGGGUAGAAUUCCAGGUGUAGCGGUGAAAUGCGUAGAGAUCUGGAGGAAUACCGGUGGCGAAGGCGGCCCCCUGGACGAAGACUGACGCUCAGGUGCGAAAGCGUGGGGAGCAAACAGG
rnacentral:rRNA from 1 species